CAGAGGAGCCAAGCGUUGUCCGGAUUGACUGGGCGUAAAGCGCACGCAGGCGGACGCGCGCGUGGGGUGUGAAAUCUGGCCGCUUAACGGCCAGGCGCCAUCCCAUACGGCGCGUCUGGAGGGCUGCAGAGGUCGAUGGAAUUGCCGGUGUAGUGGUGAAAUGCGUAGAGAUCGGCAGGAACACCCAGGGGGAAACCAGUCGACUGGGCAGCACCUGACGCUGAGGUGCGAGAGCGUGGGGAGCGAACCGGAUUAGAUACCCGGGUAGUCCACGCCGUAAACGAUGGCCACUCGGCCUUUGGGGGCGGAAUCUCCGUCGCUGGGGGCCUUAGCUAACGCGGGAAGUGGCCCGCCUGGGAACUACGAGCGCAAGCUUA
rnacentral:rRNA from 1 species